AGAGUUUGAUCCUGGCUCAGGAUGAACGCUGGCGGCAUGCCUAAUACAUGCAAGUCGAACGAGAGGAAGGAAAGCUUGCUUUUCUGAAUCUAGUGGCGAACGGGUGAGUAACACGUAGGUAACCUGCCCAUGUGCCCGGGAUAACUUCUGGAAACGGAUGCUAAAACCGGAUAGGUAGCAGACAAGCAUUUGACUGCUAUUAAAGUGGCUGAGGCCAUGAACAUGGAUGGACCUGCGGUGCAUUAGCUAGUUGGUGAGGUAACGGCCCACCAAGGCGACGAUGCAUAGCCGGCCUGAGAGGGCGGACGGCCACAUUGGGACUGAGACACGGCCCAAACUCCUACGGGAGGCAGCAGUAGGGAAUUUUCGUCAAUGGGGGGAACCCUGAACGAGCAAUGCCGCGUGAGUGAAGAAGGUCUUCGGAUCGUAAAGCUCUGUUGUAAGAGAAAAACGACAUUCAUAGGGAAUGAUGGGUGAGUGAUGGUAUCUUACCAGAAAGUCACGGCUAACUACGUGCCAGCAGCCGCGGUAAUACGUAGGUGGCGAGCGUUAUCCGGAAUGAUUGGGCGUAAAGGGUGCGUAGGUGGCAGAACAAGUCUGGAGUAAAAGGUAUGGGCUCAACCCGUACUGGCUCUGGAAACUGUUCAGCUAGAGAACAGAAGAGGACGGCGGAACUCCAUGUGUAGCGGUAAAAUGCGUAGAUAUAUGGAAGAACACCGGUGGCGAAGGCGGCCGUCUGGUCUGUUGCUGACACUGAAGCACGAAAGCGUGGGGAGCAAAUAGGAUUAGAUACCCUAGUAGUCCACGCCGUAAAC
rnacentral:rRNA from 1 species